ensembl:snRNA U6 U6 spliceosomal RNA
AGAAUAAAUGCUUUUGGAAGGUAAAAUUGGAAUGAUACAGAGAAGAUUAGCAUAGCCCCUGCACAAGGAUGACAUGCAAAUUUGUGAAACCUUUCAUAUUUUU